rnacentral:rRNA from 2 species
CUGACCGUAAACAAUGCCAACUAGCGAUCCGCCGGCGGAUUUCAUCGCCCUGGUGGGGAGCUUCCCGGAAACGAAAGUCUUCCGGUUCCGGGGGAAGUAUGGUUGCAAAGCUGAAACUUAAAGGAAUUGACGGAAGGGCACCACCAGGAGUGGAGCCUGCGGCUUAAUUUGACUCAACACGGGGAAACUCACCCGGCCCGGACACCGUAAGGAUUGACAGAUUGAUAGCUUUUUCAUGAUUCGGUGGAUGGUGGUGCAUGGCCGUUCUUAGUUCGUGGAGCGAUUUGUCUGGUUUAUUCCGAUAACGAGCGAGACUCUGGCCUACUAAAUAGUUGGAGCAUUGCCGCUGUGCUCACACACUUCUUAGAGGGAUUGUCGGUGUUCAGCCGCACGAAAUUGAGCAAUAACAGGUCUGUGAUGCCCUUAGAUGUCCGGGGCUGCACGCGCGCUACACUGGCAAAAUCAGCGUGCUUGUCCUUGCCCGAGAGGGCGUGGUAAACCCGUGAAAAUUUGCCGUGAUUGGGAUCGGACAUUGCAAUUAUUGUCCGUGAACGAGGAAUUCCUUGUAGGGGCGAGUCAUCAGCUCGCUCUG